AUUGAACGCUGGCGGCAUGCCUUACAUAUGCAAGUCGAACGGCAGCACGGGUGCUUGCACCUGGUGGCGAGUGGCGAACGGGUGAGUAAUACAUCGGAACGUACCUUAUCGUGGGGGAUAACGCAGCGAAAGUUGCGCUAAUACCGCAUACGCCCUGAGGGGGAAAGCGGGGGACCGUAAGGCCUCGCGCGAUUAGAGCGGCCGAUGUCUGAUUAGCUUGUUGGUGAGGUAAAAGCUCACCAAGGCGAUGAUCAGUAGCUGGUCUGAGAGGACGAUCAGCCACACUGGGACUGAGACACGGGCCAGACUCCUACGGGAGGCAGCAGUGGGGAAUUGUGGACAAUGGGGGCAACCCUGAUCCAGCAAUGCCGCGUGAGUGAAGAAGGCCUUCGGGUUGUAAAGCUCUUUUGUCAGGGAAGAAACAGCAGCUCUAACACAGUCUGCGAAUGACGGUACCUGAAGAAUAAGCACCGGCUAACUACGUGCCAGCCGCCGCCGUAA
rnacentral:rRNA from 1 species